rnacentral:rRNA from 1 species
CCUACGGGAGGCAGCAGUGAGGAAUAUUGGUCAAUGGGCGUAAGCCUGAACCAGCCAAGUCGCGUGAGGGAUGAAGGUUCUAUGGAUCGUAAACCUCUUUUAUAAGGGAAUAAAGUGUGGGACGUGUCCUGUUUUGUAUGUACCUUAUGAAUAAGGAUCGGCUAACUCCGUGCCAGCAGCCGCGGUAAUACGGAGGAUCCGAGCGUUAUCCGGCUUUAUUGGGUUUAAAGGGUGCGUAGGCGGCCUUUUAAGUCAGCGGUGAAAGUCUGUGGCUCAACCAUAGAAUUGCCGUUGAAACUGGGAGGCUUGAGUAUGUUUGAGGCAGGCGGAAGGCGUGGUGUAGCGGUGAAAUGCUGAGAUAUCACGCAGAACCCCGAUUGCGAAGGCAGCCUGCCAAGCCAUGACUGACGCUGAUGCACGAAAGCGUGGGGAUCAAACAGGAUUAGAUACCCCUGUAGUC